GAGUUUGAUCCUGGCUCAGGAUGAACGCUGGCGGCGUGCUUAACACAUGCAAGUCGAACGGGGCCACCAUUUUUGAAGCGAUUAGCUUGCUAAGAGUGGAAAUGUUGGCGGCUUAGUGGCGGACGGGUGAGUAACGCGUGGGUAACCUGCCAUAUACAGGGGGAUAACACUUAGAAAUAGGUGCUAAUACCGCAUAAGCGCACGGAGCUGCAUGGCUCAGUGUGAAAAACUCCGGUGGUAUAUGAUGGACCCGCGUCUGAUUAGCUUGUUGGCGGGGUAACGGCCCACCAAGGCGACGAUCAGUAGCCGGCCUGAGAGGGUGGACGGCCACAUUGGGACUGAGACACGGCCCAAACUCCUACGGGAGGCAGCAGUGGGGAAUAUUGGACAAUGGGGGGAACCCUGAUCCAGCGACGCCGCGUGAGUGAAGAAGUAUCUCGGUAUGUAAAGCUCUAUCAGCAGGGAAGAAAGAAAUGACGGUACCUGACCAAGAAGCCCCGGCUAACUACGUGCCAGCAGCCGCGGUAAUACGUAGGGGGCAAGCGUUAUCCGGAUUUACUGGGUGUAAAGGGAGCGUAGACGGUAAUGCAAGUCUGGAGUGAAAUGCAGGGGCUCAACCCCUGAACUGCUUUGGAAACUGUAUGACUG
rnacentral:rRNA from 1 species